rnacentral:lncRNA from 1 species
UAGGGGAGGGAGGGAACAACAUCAGUGUGAUGGCUGAGUCACCGAUUCACAAUGGAGCAGGGGGAUGUAGGGCUGGGACCCAGGUCCACGGAGACACCAGCCCAAAGAGCCCAGGGAGGUCGGGCUUGGGUCAGCAGGAGGGGAGAGCAGAGUCUGCAGCAGGAAGCCCGAGGAGUCACCAGCCCAAAGUCACCCAGGGAUGACUGGUGAGGGUGGGGCCUGGGGCUGGGGGACCCAGGUCCUUGGAGAGGAUGAAAAUUAAGUGAAAUGUGACUUUGGAGCUUGGCUAGCAAAAGGAAAGGAAAGGAAAGCAAAGGAAAGGAAAGGAAAGGAAAAAAAGAAAAGAAAAAAGAAAGCGAGAAAGGAAAUCAAGUGAAAUGACAAACGACUUCCCACCCACCAGAACGCUCUCCACUCCCUUCCUAGACUUUCUUCAUAGAGCCAGAAGAGGGUACCUGAAUUGGCCUGGACUGCUCAGCCUGUACGGUUCUGGGAGUGGGGUGGGGUGGAUGGAGUGAACUCAGCAGGCACCCCCAGCUCUGCUCUCCUGUGGUGUGACUGGAUCUCCAGGAGGGACUUCGACUUUUCCAGGUCUUAGCACUGAAGAUGCUUUGGUGCUUCUGCACAGGGGAGAAAAUUC